UACGUAGGGGGCAAGCGUUGUCCGGAUUUAUUGGGCGUAAAGAGCGUGUAGGCGGUUUGGUAGGUCCGCUGUGAAAACUCGAGGCUCAACCUCGAGACGCCGGUGGAAACCAUCAGGCUAGAGUCCGGAAGAGGAGAGUGGAAUUCCUGGUGUAGCGGUGAAAUGCGCAGAUAUCAGGAAGAACACCGGUGGCGAAGGCGCUCUGCUAGGCCGUAACUGACACUGAGGGACGAAAGCUAGGGGAGCGAAUGGG
rnacentral:rRNA from 1 species